UACGGAGGGGGCUAGCGUUGUUCGGAAUUACUGGGCGUAAAGCGCGCGUAGGCGGACCUGCAAGUCGGGGGUGAAAGCCCGAGGCUCAACCUCGGAACUGCCUUCGAUACUGCGGGUCUCGAGUCCGGGAGAGGUGAGUGGAAUUCCUAGCGUAGAGGUGAAAUUCGUAGAUAUUAGGAAGAACACCAGUGGCGAAGGCGGCUCACUGACCCGGUACUGACGCUGAGGCGCGAAAGCGUGGGGAGCGAACAGG
rnacentral:rRNA from 1 species